rnacentral:rRNA from 1 species
UUGGAGGGCAAGUCUGGUGCCAGCAGCCGCGGUAAUUCCAGCUCCAAUAGCGUAUAUUAAAGUUGUUGCAGUUAAAAAGCUCGUAGUUGAAUUUCGGGAUUGGCGCAUCGGUCGUGCCUUACGGGGUAUGAACUGGUGCAGUCAAUUUCUCACCUUCUGGAGAACCGCGAUGUCCUUAAUUGGGUGCCGCGGGGAACCAGGACCUUUACUUUGAAAAAAUUAGAGUGUUUAAAGCAGGCAUUUUUGCUUGAAUACAUUAGCAUGGAAUAAUAAAAUAGGACGGCAUGGUUCUAUUUUGUUGGUUUCUAGGACCACCGUAAUGAUUAAUAGGGAUAGUUGGGGGCAUUAGUAUUCAAUUGUCAGAGGUGAAAUUCUUGGAUUUAUUGAAGACUAACUACUGCGAAAGCAUUUGCCAAGGAUGUUUUCAUUAAUCAAGAACGAAAGUUAGGGGAUCGAAGGCGAUCAGAUACCGUCGUAGUCUUAACCAUAAACUAUGCCGACUAGGAAUCAGACGAUGUUAAUUUUUUAAUGACUCGUUCGGCGCCUUACGGGAAAC